GCAAAUCACGAAUUCUCAAAUGCAUUCAUAUUAAGGUGAAAUGCAUCUAUUUUAGAAGAGUUAAAUUGUCCUAUAUUCGUCCAUGCCGAAAUAAACUAAUAACAGCCUGACUGACUGACUGAGUUUUGGUUUUACGCCGCUUU